rnacentral:lncRNA from 1 species
GGUUCAAGAAAACUUAGGGAACGGUUGGUUACUGGAAGAGUGUGCAAGAGAAUGCAAGACUGAUGAAUAAAACCGAGACCAACACAAAUCUUUUAGGUGACAGCGUCUUGAUCCUGUUACUCCUUGUAAAGGAGUAGGGUGUGAUGGCUUAGGAGACUUGCAUCUCAUGGAAUUUUUGUUAGGCUUUUUGAUCUCCCAAUACUCAGGUUCGCAAAUGUUUCUUUACCCCGUAAGCAAGAAGAAGAGAGUAUGGCAAUUCACCAAGUAGCCAACUACUCACCUGCAGUUCUUGGAGCAAACUUCAUGCUGUCGGCG